ensembl:lncRNA
GUCAAUCGUGGAUCAGGGAAAGCGAAGGCAGGAGCGUGAGGUGAACUGAAUUUCAGAUUACCCAUGGAAACAUCUGCCAUUACAAUUAUCUCAUGCACCUGCUCGCUGGACUUACCUGCAUACAGCUCAGCCACAGCUACGUUGCAGACUCCAUUCUGUUUCUCGCCUGCCCACCCCCGCUUCACUACCUGUGAUCUUGGAUCAAUUCAUACCAACAUUCACCCGGACCUCCGCAACCUCGCCUCGCCCUCUCACGUUCCUUCACCUGCAACAAAUGUCUCAGGCUACCGGCUCUAGCACCCCUGUGUCCUCAUCAACUUAUAAUAACUGAUAAUUCAUGCUCUAGCUCGAGAAUCUUGUUACGUCAUGUGCCUAUUACCCUGAUCGUAACCCAAGUUGUUCCCAGUCCAAUCUUCGCCAACG